AGAGUUUGAUCCUGGCUCAGGAUGAACGCUGGCGGCGUGCUUAACACAUGCAAGUCGAACGCACCUUCGGGUGAGUGGCGGACGGGUGAGUAACGCGUGAGAAUCUGCCCUCAGGAGGGGGAUAACGGCUGGAAACGGCCGCUAAUACCCCAUAUGCCGCGAGGUGAAACGAGUUUUCGCCUGAGGAUGAGCUCGCGUCUGAUUAGCUAGUUGGUGGGGUAAGAGCCUACCAAGGCAUCGAUCAGUAGCUGGUCUGAGAGGAUGAUCAGCCACACUGGGACUGAGACACGGCCCAGACUCCUACGGGAGGCAGCAGUGGGGAAUUUUCCGCAAUGGGCGAAAGCCUGACGGAGCAACGCCGCGUGAGGGAUGAAGGCCUCUGGGCUGUAAACCUCUUUUCUCAAGGAAGAAGAUCUGACGGUACUUGAGGAAUAAGCCACGGCUAAUUCCGUGCCAGCAGCCGCGGUAAUACGGGAGUGGCAAGCGUUAUCCGGAAUUAUUGGGCGUAAAGCGUCCGCAGGCGGUCUUGAAAGUCUGUUGUUAAAGCGUGGAGCUUAACUCCAUUUCAGCAAUGGAAACUAGAAGACUAGAGUGUGGUAGGGGCAGAGGGAAUUCCCGGUGUAGCGGUGAAAUGCGUAGAUAUCGGGAAGAACACCAGUGGCGAAGGCGCUCUGCUGGGCCAUAACUGACGCUCAUGGACGAAAGCCAGGGGAGCGAAAGGGAUUAGAUACCCCUGUAGUCCUGGCCGUAAACGAUGAACACUAGGUGUCGGGGGAAUCGACCCCCUCGGUGUCGUAGCCAACGCGUUAAGUGUUCCGCCUGGGGAGUACGCACGCAAGUGUGAAACUCAAAGGAAUUGACGGGGGCCCGCACAAGCGGUGGAGUAUGUGGUUUAAUUCGAUGCAACGCGAAGAACCUUACCAGGGUUUGACAUCCUGCGAAUCCCUUGGAAACGAGGGAGUGCCUUCGGGAGCGCAGAGACAGGUGGUGCAUGGCUGUCGUCAGCUCGUGUCGUGAGAUGUUGGGUUAAGUCCCGCAACGAGCGCAACCCACGUCUUUAGUUGCCAGCAUUCAGUUGGGCACUCUAGAGAGACCGCCGGUGAUAAACCGGAGGAAGGUGUGGAUGACGUCAAGUCAUCAUGCCCCUUACAUCCUGGGCUACACACGUACUACAAUGCUACGGACAAAGGGCAGCAAACUCGCGAGAGCUAGCAAAUCCCAUAAACCGUGGCUCAGUUCAGAUCGUAGGCUGCAACUCGCCUACGUGAAGGAGGAAUCGCUAGUAAUCGCAGGUCAGCAUACUGCGGUGAAUACGUUCCCGGGCCUUGUACACACCGCCCGUCACACCAUGGAAGUUGGCCACGCCCGAAGUCGUUACUCCAACCCUUGUGGAGGAGGACGCCGAAGGUGGGGCUGAUGACUGGGGUGAAGUCGUAACAAGGUA
rnacentral:rRNA from 1 species